UGCAGUCGAACGGCAGCACGGAGCUUGCUCUGGUGGCGAGUGGCGAACGGGUGAGUAAUAUAUCGGAACGUACCCUAGAGUGGGGGAUAACGUAGCGAAAGUUACGCUAAUACCGCAUACGAUCUAAGGAUGAAAGUGGGGGAUCGCAAGACCUCAUGCUCGUGGAGCGGCCGAUAUCUGAUUAGCUAGUUGGUAGGGUAAAAGCCUACCAAGGCAUCGAUCAGUAGCUGGUCUGAGAGGACGACCAGCCACACUGGAACUGAGACACGGUCCAGACUCCUACGGGAGGCAGCAGUGGGGAAUUUUGGACAAUGGGCGAAAGCCUGAUCCAGCAAUGCCGCGUGAGUGAAGAAGGCCUUCGGGUUGUAAAGCUCUUUUGUCAGGGAAGAAACGGUGAGAGCUAAUAUCUCUUGCUAAUGACGGUACCUGAAGAAUAAGCACCGGCUAACUACGUGCCAGCAGCCGCGGUAAUACGUAGGGUGCAAGCGUUAAUCGGAAUUACUGGGCGUAAAGCGUGCGCAGGCGGUUUUGUAAGUCUGAUGUGAAAUCCCCGGGCUCAACCUGGGAAUUGCAUUGGAGACUGCAAGGCUAGAAUCUGGCAGAGGGGGGUAGAGUUCCACGUGUAGCAGUGAAAUGCGUAGAUAUGUGGAGGAACACCGAUGGCGAAGGCAGCCCCCUGGGUCAAGAUUGGCGCUCAUGCA
rnacentral:rRNA from 1 species